AUAAUUAUCUAUGGAAGAAGUUCACUCUAAUUCCGUAUAUAUUUAUAUAUAUCAAAAUCUUUAUCUUAUGUACUAACUAAACUAAACUCUAAAUAUAAAUAAAAAUUAAUUAAAGUUCUAAUUCUUCUCCAACUCAAUCAAUUAUCUCCUCACAACUAACCUCAAAGCCAUCCUUCCGCACCAUCGCAUACAACCUCGCCGCCGCUGUGAGCCUCCGGUCCGCCGCGCUUCACCGUUGCUCUUAGUCUUUUUUCCGGUCGCCGCCUCCCCUCUUCGAAGGCCGGUUGAGGUUAGUUUUGAUUCUCGCUUCGUCUGUAAUAAGCUUGAUAUCUGAAUACUUUUCUGGUUAUAAUAUGUCCAGGUCACCCGACAAGUUAAACACUUCGAAGAGAACCAUUUCGUUCGAUUUCUCGCUUAAUUAGUCGGGCAGAGAAGCUUGAAGGUGAUCUAUCAAGGUAAGGAUAUCCAUGUUUUGGUCAUGGAAGGAUAUAUGCAAAUAAGAUUGACAUUAUUAUGGAUUAAAGAAGCAAUAUUUUGUUUGCCAAUAUGCUCCGCAGGUCGCCGCCGUCGACUGGAAUUUCAUAAUUUCCUCCGCACAUGGGUACGCCUAUGAUAUUAUAUUCAAAUUUCAGGAGAUUAUAUUUUGUUUUCAGUAUGAAUAUGAUACAAAAUAGUUUGCGAUUUUAUGGUAUUUGAUGGUUUGUAUUUCUCAUUGCUCAAUAUCUAAGAUUAUCAAUCCAAAUAAUAAACUAAGAUAUAGAUUCAGACUCUCUCAAAAUUAUAUCUCCAUAACUUCUCUCAAGAACGUAAACUUUGCAGCAUGAAUUUUAAACAUUUAUUUGUUUCCAAAUUGGAUGUCCUAUGACCUUGUAAGCAAAAAAAAUAUGCAUGAGAUGUUUUACGGGUCGAUAUCUAAAUAUAAAUCGAUAGUAAAUUAUAUAUUUAUAAAUUUACUAGCAGCUAGAACAUAGUAUGUAUUAUUGAAUGUGGCUUAAUUGUGUAAUUUAUCAAAAUAAAAUUAGUAAGGCAUAGUUAUAUUUUAAUUGAUCACUAUCCUUUUUUCUGUAAUCGUCGGAUACCUACCAAUUACCAUAUUCUUGAUGUAUAGUCUUGAUACGAACAGAGAAGAAAAGAGUCGGUUUUACACUUUACCUUUACCUGGUAGGUUGCAUGAAACAAUAAGUACUAUAAUUCGACGCUCUAAGAAGUAGAAACUUAAGAAAUAGUUCUGUUUGCUUAUAUAUAUAUAUGUAUAUAUAUUUAUUUUAUAUAUAUGUCUUUGUGUCAUGUUACGAGAUGGCUGCUGAUAUUCUUCCAUCUCAUUUUGCCGCUGAUGGAAGAAAGAGUUUGCUUCAAAUUCUUGCCCAUGUAGUUUUUUUUUUUCACGGGAGUCAUGUAGUUUUUUUGUCUUUGUUUUUUUUGGGGGGUCUUUUUUUUUGUUAUCUACUUAAUUAUGGGUUUAAUUUAUCAUUUUUGCUUAACCCCUUUGAGCUCCUAAGAGACCUCCUAUCAUCAUGUUUGGAGUUUUCUAAUUUCUUAGCACUGGCAUAUAUAUUACAAGAGGCAUAUAUAUUGUUUAUUUCAUACUGCACACACACACACACACACACACAUAUAUACAUAUAUAUAUAUAAUAGGAUUGGAUUUUGUAAUCGCAGUUGCAUUUCAUUUUUAUCAACACUUACAUAUAUGACACAUUCAAAUGAUCGAGCAUUAUAUAUUUAUGAAAUUUGGUGUGCCUAUUAUUGUAUAUGGUUGUGGGGUGGAUUUAGGCUUUGAUGAGGAAUCAAAAAAUGAGAUUCAUACCAAGAAUUUCUAUUAGUAGAAGAAAAUUGAUCUCAUGUAGUAUAUUUCACCUCUCAUAAAUUUCAUAAUUUUAAUUGUCUUUGUUGUUUUUGGAAAUAGCAAUAUGCAUUUUUAAUUUUUAAAAUAUUUGUUGAUUUUAAUAUACAUUUUUAGUAUAGAUUGCUAAUUUGUUAUUACAUUUGACAAGAAGUAGAAAAUAUUUCAUUUUCAUGAUAGAAAACCAAAAAAUAAACUUUAUUAUACCAUAUUUGCAGGACACAUGUAUCCAAAGGUUAUGAAUGUUCAGUUAUGUCCUCAAAUUUUUGUUUUGGUCAUUUAGGCUGAUUUAAAAGUUAUGCUAAAUUUUUGGGUUUGUAGAAUGACCUUUAUUUAAUUGUGAAAGUUAGGCUUUGAUAAAAAUAUAAUGAUAUAGUAAUUGUUUUGCUGCCAUAUCAAUAUGUUUAUAUUUAUUUGAUUAGAGUUAUACUUAUAAUUAUUAUUAACAUUCCUUUUUGUUGUUAUUUGUUUAUUAUUAUUUAUUAUUUUUGUGUUACAGAAUAAAAUUUUUUUGCAGGAUUUUAAAAUUUAUAUACACUAACUAUGAACAUGGAAGUUACAUUGCGCAAAACAAGCUCAUCUUCAG
rnacentral:lncRNA from 1 species